UACAGGGGGGGCAAGCGUUGUUCGGAAUUACUGGGCGUAAAGGGCUCGUAGGCGGCCAACUAAGUCCGACGUGAAAUCCCAAAGCUUAACUUUGGAACUGCGUCGGAUACUGGAUGGCUUGAAUUCGGGAGAGGGAUGCAGAAUUCCAGGUGUAGCGGUGAAAUGCGUAGAUAUCCGGAAGAACACCGGAGGCGAAGGCGGCUUGCUGGGCUUGGUCUGACGCUCAGGCGCGACAGCGUGGGGAUCAAACAGG
rnacentral:rRNA from 1 species